AGAGUUUGAUCCUGGCUCAGGAUGAACGCUAGCGGCAGGCUUAACACAUGCAAGUCGAGGGGUAUAGGUUUUCGGACCUAGAGACCGGCGCACGGGUGCGUAACGCGUAUGCAAUCUACCUUUCACAGAAGGAUAGCCCAGAGAAAUUUGGAUUAAUACCUCAUAGUAUAAUGAGUUGGCAUCAAUACAUUAUUAAAGUCACAACGGUGAAGGAUGAGCAUGCGUCCCAUUAGCUUGUUGGUAAGGUAACGGCUUACCAAGGCUACGAUGGGUAGGGGUCCUGAGAGGGAGAUCCCCCACACUGGUACUGAGACACGGACCAGACUCCUACGGGAGGCAGCAGUGAGGAAUAUUGGACAAUGGGCGCAAGCCUGAUCCAGCCAUGCCGCGUGCAGGAUGACGGUCCUAUGGAUUGUAAACUGCUUUUGCACAGGAAGAAACAACUCUACGUGUAGAGUCUUGACGGUACUGUGAGAAUAAGGAUCGGCUAACUCCGUGCCAGCAGCCGCGGUAAUACGGAGGAUCCAAGCGUUAUCCGGAAUCAUUGGGUUUAAAGGGUCCGUAGGCGGUUUAGUAAGUCAGUGGUGAAAGCCCAUCGCUCAACGGUGGAACGGCCAUUGAUACUGCUAAACUUGAAUUAUUAGGAAGUAACUAGAAUAUGUAGUGUAGCGGUGAAAUGCUUAGAGAUUACAUGGAAUACCAAUUGCGAAGGCAGGUUACUACUAAUGGAUUGACGCUGAUGGACGAAAGCGUGGGUAGCGAACAGGAUUAGAUACCCUGGUAGUCCACGCCGUAAACGAUGGAUACUAGCUGUUGGGAGCAAUCUCAGUGGCUAAGCGAAAGUGAUAAGUAUCCCACCUGGGGAGUACGUUCGCAAGAAUGAAACUCAAAGGAAUUGACGGGGGCCCGCACAAGCGGUGGAGCAUGUGGUUUAAUUCGAUGAUACGCGAGGAACCUUACCAAGGCUUAAAUGUAGAUUGACCGGUUUGGAAACAGACUUUUCGCAAGACAAUUUACAAGGUGCUGCAUGGUUGUCGUCAGCUCGUGCCGUGAGGUGUCAGGUUAAGUCCUAUAACGAGCGCAACCCCUGUUGUUAGUUGCCAGCGAGUCAUGUCGGGAACUCUAACGAGACUGCCAGUGCAAACUGUGAGGAAGGUGGGGAUGACGUCAAAUCAUCACGGCCCUUACGCCUUGGGCUACACACGUGCUACAAUGGCCGGUACAGAGAGCAGCCACUGGGUGACCAGGAGCGAAUCUAUAAAACCGGUCACAGUUCGGAUCGGAGUCUGCAACUCGACUCCGUGAAGCUGGAAUCGCUGGUAAUCGGAUAUCAGCCAUGAUCCGGUGAAUACGUUCCCGGGCCUUGUACACACCGCCCGUCAAGCCAUGGAAGCUGGGGGUGCCUGAAGUCGGUGACCGCAAGGAGCUGCCUAGGGUAAAACUGGUAACUAGGGCUAAGUCGUAACAAGGUA
rnacentral:rRNA from 1 species